AUUAUAUAGGCAGUGAUGCUCUAGAGUUCAGAUAUUGGGAAUUUCAUUUUUAAUGGUGCAGCUGUUAUUCAGAUUUUGUUUUACUUCAGUACUAAACACAAAAAUCAAAAAAACUUUCCAAAGGGAAAUAAUGUUUUGUUGUUUUUGCAAAGACAAAAGAUGAAUAGGGCACUGGCUCUGGUCUUAGACGGUGGGUCUCCGUGGAGUCACUAUAAAGAAGAUGCAAAUCCAAGACUCAUCACAUGUUUGCAUGUGAGCAAUUCAUUAAUAUCUCUCUGUUAAUUUUCUCCAUCUGCAAAAUAGCUGUAGCAAACCUUCUUUAGGGCUCAUGGAGGUUAAGGGAGACCAUUUAUGUGCAUCCAGCACAGAGCCGUAACUCACUGCUAGGUGGCUACUCUCGCCAUGGCUCACGUUCCAGCAGUGAGAACUCAGAUAAAUAGUUCAAUGAGAAAGGGCUCUGGGAACUGGGAAUGGGAAACACCAGUUCAAUAAGGGGAAGAGUCACAAGCUGUGAUGACAGAGUAGACCUUGAAGGAUGGAUGCGUGUUCAUCAGAAGACGUCAUUUCAAGCAGACAACAGUACAGGUGCCAGAUUGUGCUCAGAACACUGGAGGAGCUUAAAGAAGUAGCUAUGGCUGGACCAGAGACCCAGGUUCAUAGUAAGGGACAUCAUGUGAGCUCAGAGGUCAGGCGGAGCUGAGGCUGUGCAGAAUGUGAACUUCGGCCUGAGGAACAGGAACUGUUGGGAGGUGAGAAACAGGAGAGCUGUGAUUUGGAUUGAGCAGAGUGGUAGCCCAUCUCCAGAUGGUACCCAAUGAGAUUCACCUCUGGGCAUCUAACACCCUCUGUCUCUUUCCACAGGGAGCAGGGCUGACCUGUGUAACUCAAUAAGAUGGUGCCAAAUGUUGCAGUGUGACUUCUGAGACUAGAUCAUGGAAGACAUCAUGGCUCCACCUGUGCUCUCUUGGAUCACUUGCUUCAGGGGAAGCCAGGGGCCACAUCGUGAGGACACUCAGCUAUCCCUAUGGAAAGGCCCAUGUGGUCUGCCAUAUCGAAGUUACCCUGAACUGGGUGGCUUCAAACAACGGAAACAUAUUGUCUCAUAGUUGUGGAAGCUGGAAAUCCAAAAUCAAGGUGUUGGCAGAGCCAUGCUGCUUCUGAAACCUUCAGGGGUUGGUUGUGUGUGUGGGGUCGUUUCUUGCCUCUUGUAACUUCUGGUGUUUGUUGGCAAACAAUUUCUGGUGUGCCUUGUCUGGUAGAGGCAUCCCUGUGAUCUCUGCUCCUGUUGUCACGUGUGUGUGUGUCUUCUCCUCUUCUGACAAGGACAUGUCAUAUUGGAUUAAGGGCCCACCUACUCUAGUGUGACCUCAUCUUAAUUUACAUCUUCAUCACAUCCUCAAAGACCCUAUUUCCAAAUAAGGCCACCUUCUGAGCUACUAGGGGUUAGGAUCACAACGUAUCUUUUUAGGGGAAAACACUAUUCAACUAAUAAUAUUCUCCAAAUCCAGUGAGGCCUUCAACCAGCUGCAGCCUUGGCUGACAUCUUGACUGUAGCCUCCUGAGAGACCCGUUUUCCUGCCCCACAAAACUGGGUGAAUUAACAAUGUCCAUGCUUGUUUUAAGCCAUUAAGUUUUGGGGCAGUUUGUUCUGUGGGAAUAGGUAACUAACAUUCAAAGGGGGGUUAGGGAGUGAAAGACUGAAGCCAGCAGACCAGGACCUUUCUCUGGCCUGAGAAGCAACAUGGUCCCCCAAGCAGUCCUACUCACAGAUCUUCAGGCCACAUCAGCUCUUCUCUCAAAUCUAGGCCUUUGUGCACAAUACAUUUCAUACUUUUAUGCCUUUCUAUGUUGUCCUAUAUAAACCCACUUUGUUGAGAAAUUCUUCUUUGAGUGGUCAUUUCACUUGAGCAGUUCCGGGUUUCACUGAGAAUCGGAGCGACUAACUCACCGCCGGUCCUCUCUGAGCAGAUCUGCUGUGCUGGGACACCUCCAGGUGCCUCCUCCUGGUUCAAUACGCCAUGGCUGGGGGUUGGGGGCUCAGAUACCAAGCAGGGCCACCUGUGGGGAAAAGUGGCCUAGGUGGGUUUUCCUCAGCAGGGGCUCUCAACAGGCCUGUGUCUUGGGAGCGGACGUGGUGGGCUCUGGGACUUGGCAGUCUGUGAGGAGGCAUGGUUUUUUCCUCUCUAAGAACAGGGUUUUUAAAUCCAGUGUGAAUACAGCUCACUGUGCCUCUCACUUCCCGUGUGAGAAAAACCACAGAAAAGCACAGCUGCACCUACAUGAGAAACCACGCAAACCAAGCUACUUCCCCCAAGACUGGUUUAGCCAAAAAUGCAUUUGAUUUCCUGUCUCCAUGUUGUGGUCAAGAUUGCCAUUUGCUUCCUGCAUUUCAGGACCACAAUCGACGAAAGCGUAUCACAACCAUUAGUCAUAGGUGUAUUUUUUCCCUGAAAAUGAUUUAUUUUCCCAUCCUCUACUUUGUUCUGUCAGCUGGCAGCCACUUCUUUGAAUUGUAAAAAUUACUUUGUUCUACCACCAUUAUUUGCUUUUCCCCUCAUUCUACUUCACGAGCAAUUCAUUCUAAAUUGUCGGUAGAAAAUAACUCAGGGAAAGUUCGUGGUACUCUGCCCAGAAGGGCGGAAUUAGGAUCUUGCAGGUGCUUUUUAGAUGUUUACUGGGUGAAGUAGUUCUGCCAAGUCUGUAUUUAGAACUGGCCUCUCUUUCUCAGGCUUAUUUGAAUCAUCUUGGCAUAAAGCAAUGAUAUGCAUUUUUAGGGAAUUUCUGUCUCCCUGGGGUUUGAGGCAGAGAAGCAGAGUGGGCGGCGGACAGCCACAUCUGGGGCCGCUUCCGGCCUGCCAGCUCACGCCUGGUGGGAGCUGCACUGGGCGGGAAAGCGAACUCUGCCAUUUGAUGGGAGAGGUCCUGCUCCCCUUCCAGAGGGACUUCCUAGGGCGUGGGGAACCCGGGGCUUGCUCAGGAAUUUCAAGUCCUUCCUGCUUAUUCCCUGAAGACUUGACUCAUCCCAGACCUUUUCGAGGGAUCAGUGAGUCAGCAGGGGCUGGUGCUGGCUCUGCUUUUUCCCACAUGGUUUAUUCAACAUGCAUUCUACGAAUAAAAAACUGAGGCCCGAGGUCUCCCAGUGAGGGGUAGAUGGUGAGGCCAUGGAUGGAAACCCCAUCAGUCUGACCGUAGAAUCCAUGUUGUUAAUUAUCCUGCCUAAAAGCCAGAAAAGGAUCUGAAGGCCUACACCGGGGGGGAAUAGGGAGUUCGUUUCAUUUUUUUUCUUGCUUUAUAAAAUUGUGUGAUGUUUAAGCACAUACUGUUUAAAAAACUAAAAAGGGGUUCAAACUAAAUGGCCACAUUUAAGAGGCAAAUCACUGAAGACUAAUUAUCCAUUCUGCACUUAAAAAAUAAUCUGAAACAGCUACUAGGCAUGAAGUCAAAAUCCUUUUUAAAAUGGCUCUGAAAUGUUGGACACAAAUUACACAGAAACCAGUGGCCUAAAAAUGUCUUCACCAUAUUCAAUCUGGUAAUUUUGCAUCUGGAAUUCCUGACAUGGGAAGCUCCUGCUCUGUGCCUGUUGGGUGAUUGAAUACAUGCAUGACUGAAGUAGGCCACCCUUCACGCCCUUCAUGGUAGUCCUUGCAACUUAUCUCUAUGGGGUGCCAAGCAUCGCUGCUAAGCAAGGAGAUCCUCUAUAGGGCUCCGGAUCAAAUGAUACCAGCAUCAAGCCAUCCUGCACAGUCAGGCAACGUGCCCAACUCUUGCCCAAAGCUACUGUGAUUUAUUAAGGUCCCUGGAAUCCCCGGAUGAGCUGUGUUGUACAGAAAGAAUUCUAUUACUCAUACCUUCCCAUGGCUGCCCCCAUCUCAACAUUUUCCAGUCCCCACCCGCCCUUCACCCCGAAGCGCUGCACUCUCUCCAGUUAUUCCAGGUCCUGCCUACACAUUCCAUUUACUGACAGAAAAUUCCAUUACUGGCAGAUGUGAGGAACACUUCUUUUCUAUUUUUAAAAGCCGCUUUAAGGUCUACAUUUCUGACGCUGCCGGUGGCGCUAGCAUUGCCAUUUCAUCUGGAUAGAGUUCCGGUUGGCCAGAAUGGGAAACUUCCCCACAGGGGCCAUUUCUAAUCGAGCUUUUGCUUUGAGAGCUUGUUUCUUACCUCAGAAAAUGUUUAAGGCUUAUGAAAUAUUUACAUGUCCUGGGUAAGUCACUUGAUCAACAAGAUUAAAAACAACAACAACAACAACAAAAACCCAAGCCACUACCUUGUGGAUGUGUAAAAUAGAAACUGACAUUUAUUUUUGUUUUAGCUUGAGACCAAUUGCAUACUGAGAGAUUUGUUAGAGGAAGAUGUGGCUUGAAAAAGAUAAAUGUGAAUAGAAAAUAGCAGCUAAUGUCUCGAUGACUGAGGUUUAAGAGGAAGACACUGAGGGAAUCUGCCUCUCCUACUUGUUCCACAGUUCCCAGGGUGGAAUCUGGUGCCACAGAAGCGGGCUCCUGCCCUUAAGGCAGAAAGGUGGUCCCAGGGCUUGUAGCCUGUGGAAGUGCAAGGCUGUCACCAUGAUGGCCAGAGUCCGCCCCACAGACCACGUACUUUUCCUAGUCCCUCUCAUACAAGCGCCCAUAGAGAGCUGCCGUCACCAGCCCGGAGGACAGCCCACUCUUCCUCAGGAAAUAGUGGUCCUUCUCCCAGCCAAGUUGGUCAGGGACUUCUAGGGUCAUCCCCGAGGUCAGAAA